CCCGACUGCUAUCGGCAUGGGAUUAAGCCAUGCGAGUUGAGCGUCUUCUAGCUGUGGAAGGCGCGGCAUACGGCUCAGUAACACGUAGUUAACCUACCUUGAAGACGCGGAUAAUCCCGGGAAACUGGGGCUAAUACGCGAUAGAUUCAAAGUUCUGGAAUGGCUUUGAAUCCAAAGGGCUGAAGGAGCAUGCUUCUUCAGUCGCUUCAAGAUGGGACUGCGGCCGAUCAGGUAGUUGGCGGGGUAAUGGCCCACCANGCCUAUAACCGGUGCGGGCUCUGAGAGGAGGAGCCCGGAGAUGGACACUGAGACAAGGGUCCAGGCCCUACGGGGCGCAGCAGGCGCGAAACCUUCACAAUGCGCGAAAGCGCGAUGAGGCUAUACCGAGUGUCAUCCGCUGAGGGUGACUUUUCCUCGAUCUAAAACAUCGAGGGAAUAAGGGGAGGGCAAGCCUGGUGUCAGCCGCCGCGGUAAUACCAGCUCCCCGAGUGGUCGGGACGAUUAUUGGGCCUAAAGCAUCCGUAGCCGGCUUCACAGGUCUCUUGUUAAAUCCAACGGCUCAACCGUUGGACUGCAGGGGAUACCAUGGAGCUAGGGGGCGGGAGAGGCGGACGGUACUCCAUGGGUAGGGGUAAAAUCCUUUGAUCCAUGGAAGACCACCAGUGGCGAAGGCGGUCCGCUAGAACGCGCCCGACGGUGAGGGAUGAAAGCUGGGGGAGCGAACCGGAUUAGAUACCCGGGUAGUCCCAGCCGUAAACGAUGCAGGCUAGGUGAUAGAGAGGCUAUACGCCUUUCUAGUGCCGCAGGGGAGCCGAUAAGCCUGCCGCCUGGGGAGUACGGCCGCAAGACUGAAACUUAAAGGAAUUGGCGGGGGAGCACCACAAGGGAGUGAAGCCUGCGGUUCAUUGGAGUCAACGCCCGAAACCUUACCAAGGGUGACAGCAGGAUGAAGGUCACUCUAAAGAAUUACCAAACGAGCUGAGAGGAGGUGCAUGGCCGUCGCCAGCUCGUGCCGUGAGGC
rnacentral:rRNA from 1 species